rnacentral:rRNA from 1 species
GACGAACGCUGGCGGCGUGCUUAACACAUGCAAGUCGAACGGAAAGGCCCCUUUGGGGGUACUCGAGUGGCGAACGGGUGAGUAACACGUGAGUAACCUGCCCUUGACUUCGGGAUAACUUCAGGAAACUGGGGCUAAUACCGGAUAGGAAUCCUUGCUGCAUGGUGGGGGUUGGAAAGCUUCGGCGGUUUUGGAUGGACUCGCGGCUUAUCAGCGUGUUGGUGGGGUAGUGGCUUACCAAGGCUUUGACGGGUAGCCGGCCUGAGAGGGCGACCGGCCACAUUGGGACUGAGAUACGGCCCCGACUCCUACGGGUGGCAGCAGUGGGGAAUAUUGCACAAUGGGCGGAAGCCGGAUGCAGCAACGCCGCGUGCGGGAUGACGGCCUUCGGGUUGUAAACCGCUUUCAGCAGGGGCGAAGCUUGUGGUGACGGUACCUGCAGAAGAAGCACCGGCUAACUACGUG